rnacentral:misc_RNA from 1 species
CCAAUAGCGUAUAUUAAAGUUGUUGCAGUUAAAAAGCUCGUAGUUGAAUUUCGGGAUUGGCGCAUCGGUCGUGCCUUACGGGGUAUGAACUGGUGCAGUCAAUUUCUCACCUUCUGGAGAACCGCGAUGUCCUUAAUUGGGUGCCGCGGGGAACCAGGACCUUUACUUUGAAAAAAUUAGAGUGUUUAAAGCAGGCAUUUUUGCUUGAAUACAUUAGCAUGGAAUAAUAAAAUAGGACGGCAUGGUUCUAUUUUGUUGGUUUCUAGGACCACCGUAAUGAUUAAUAGGGAUAGUUGGGGGCAUUAGUAUUCAAUUGUCAGAGGUGAAAUUCUUGGAUUUAUUGAAGACUAACUACUGCGAAAGCAUUUGCCAAGGAUGUUUUCAUUAAUCAAGAACGAAAGUUAUGGGAUCGAAGACGAUCAGAUACCGUCGUAGUCUUAACCAUAAACUAUGCCGACUAGGGAUCGGAUGAUGUUAAUUUUAUAAUGACUCAUUCGGCGCCUUACG